UCCGAUUAUGAUACCUUAUACUUCUUAUUAUUCAUAUAAAAGAAAAGAAGAAGAAAAAAAACAGUUAAGAAGAUUAAGAAAGAAAUCUCAUCUUUAUUUCCCAAUAUCUUCAAUUAUGAUUGAUUUCUAAAGACAAUAAGAAUAAUAAUAACAAUAAUAAGAACAACAAUAACAACAAUAAUAUGAAAAAGAAGAAGAAGAAUAAAGUAUCUUGGUAUAUUCAAUUUUGCUUUCUUGUUCUUAUGUGGUAUAUGUAUCUAGUACAAUGUAAAUUUUAAUGUGGGAUUUCAAUUAAACGUGUCAUUUAAUUCGUAUUAUGAUUAAUAUGCAUUAUUCAUACACAUAUCAAUGUAUGUGUAUUUAAAUGAAUAUAGAGUUUAUACCUCGUUGACAAAUUAAAUUUACAAUAUUGAAAUAAGGGUGUCACGAUCAGGUACACGCAUCACGUUCGAUCGUCGACGAUCUUUCUAUAUAUAAAAUAUAUCGAUACCAAACGAUAUUACAUUUGUUGAAAGGCAUAUACGUAUUACGUACAUACGCGUACACGUGCAUACAGAAAAAUUAAGAAAAAAAUAGCAAAAUAGAGCGAGGAAGAGAGAGAGAGAGAGAGAGAUGAAAGUUCAUUGUUUACGAGGAAGGACGUCUGUCCUAACAAACGGAGUUUUCGAUGAGGUCUCGUAUUUUUGUAUUCCUGUUGCUUUCUUUUAUUUUUUGAUUUUGAUUAAUUAACUAAUUAAAUUAUAAAAAUUUUAAUAUAUAUAUAUAUAUACAUAUAUAUAUAUAUAUAUAUAUAUAAUAUUAUUACACUGAAAGAAAAAGAGAAUGUUUAUACCAUUUACUAGCUGACGUAUACAAAGCAAAUCUUAUUACAAUGUUUAUAUGUUUCUCUAUAAGCUGAAAUAUCUAAAUCCACCUUAUGUUAUUUACUUUCUGUCGAAUAUCGUAUGAGAUCAGUCUUUCGGCAACCACCAAGGUGGAAUGUUGGAAGAUCCCAUAUAAACAUACGUUUGUAAAUAGAUACAUAUGUACAUAACUAGAUACAUAAUAUACACACCCACGCACACAUACACAAAGUAUAUAGUAGUCUUUCCUUGGGUAUUGCUUGAGAUUUAUUAUAUUGUGUAGACAGUAACGAGCAACCUUUCUUCUGCAAUGAGCCAAACUUAAAUAUCUGAUAUUGUUAUUGAUAGAAUUCAUUAUGAACUAAAAAUGUUUAAAUUGAUUAAAUAGAAAUUAAUACUUGAUAGAAAAAGAAAAAAUUACACAUUAUUGAAGGGUAUUUGUUAUUUUCGGCAUCAAAUUACAAUGAAAUGUUUUCUAUAAUCCUAUUGAUUUUUUAUUAGCAAUACUUUUAAUGUGUACGCAUAAAUGUAUGUAUAUA